rnacentral:lncRNA from 1 species
AUGUGGCUUUGGACAGCAAUAGUUUUCUUUUUUUUUUUCCUAAGGCACAAAGGCUGUAUAAUCCUUCCCAGGUUUUGCUGGACUGAUGCUGAAGUCUGCCUCCCCUGGUACAUGGCUGUCUCUUUGGAGAAAAUGCUGAGCAAACAACUUAUUUGCUUUCCUGAUUUGGCGACUUUUUUUUCUGCUUCGGUUUUCGAACAGAAAACUAAAAGCACUUUAUGGUGUUAAAGCAGCAGCUUCUGACCUAAUGUACCCUUCUCUGAACGAUAAUGUUUCUUUGUUACUUAUUUUUAGCUCAGAUUGUUUUUCUCCCCUUUCCCCCAACAUGAUUUGUACAACCUUUAGAAAAUUGAGUAGUUGUGGUUUUGAAUCAUCCUCCGUUUCUAGACUGAAUGAGUAUUUCUGAAGAAGCACUGGCUUGCUUAUGAGUGGGUCUUUUUCUUACUUAAAAAGGCAACAGCCAUGACACAGUCUCACCCCCUGAAAAAAGAAGAUGCAAUACUAUAGACCCUUGGUAGACUGCAUUGUGACCCUGGAAAGGACAAUGUGUUAAAGUAGUCAUUUAAUUUUGUAGCAAUGUUAUAUUGCUAGCAGAUGUCCUGUUGUUUUCCUUUGACUAUGAUUCAGAGUCAUUUGGGUAAAAUAUCUUGAAGGAGUAUAUUUUGGUCCUGAAAUAAAGCAUGACUAUCCAUUUUGAAACUAUAGCAAUACUUCAUUAUGAAUCAGUCUAUAUUUGACUCCUUGUUUCUGUGUAAAGCUUUCAGUAUAUCUAGUACAAGUCUAAGUACUGUUAUUUGUGCUUUGGAAGUACAGCAAGAUAGCAUAAACAUCUGAUGUGUACAUACUGAUCAAAAAAAAAAGGCAAAAAAGCCUUACAGAAAUAAAUUUGAAUCCCACAAAGUAUAAAUAAAUGUAACUGGCCAUUUUAAGUGUGGGAGAAAAGAAAUAAUGAAAGAAAUAAUUUUUUCCCUAUUAAAAAAGUUAAUACUUUUCUAGUAAAAAAGGCUAAAUCUGUAAAUAAGGUAGCUCCCCUCUGAACCAAGCUUGUAGUUUCUAGUUGUGUAGUUUUUAUAUUCUGAGUUAUUAAUAGGAAAUCAAGAACCUGAGGCAUAGGCCUGUGCUGGUUUUUUGUGUGCUCAUAUUAUAUGGGCUUUCAUUUAAGCGUGUACAAGUGCACACACACACGUGCAUGCAUACACACUGAUUCU